GAGCGGGCGUAGCAAUACGUCAGCGGCAGACGGGUGAGUAACGCGUGGGAACGUACCUUUUGGUUCGGAACAACCCAGGGAAACUUGGGCUAAUACCGGUAUAAGCCCUCACGGGGUAAAGAUUUAUCGCCGAAAGAUCGGCCCGCGUCUGAUUAGCUAGUUGGUGAGGUAAUGGCCCACCAAGGCGACGAUCAGUAGCUGGUCUGAGAGGAUGAUCGGCCACAUUGGGACUGAGGCACGGCCCAAACUCCUACGGGAGGCAGCAGUGGGGAAUAUUGGACAAUGGGCGCAAGCCUGAUCCAGCCAUGCCGCGUGAGUGAUGAAGGCCCUAGGGUUGUAAAGCUCUUUUGUGCGGGAAGAUAAUGACGGUACCGCAAGAAUAAGCCCCGGCUAACUUCGUGCCAGCAGCCGCGGUAAU
rnacentral:rRNA from 1 species